rnacentral:rRNA from 1 species
CGGCAGACGGGUGAGUAACGCGUGGGAACAUACCUUUUGGUUCGGAACAACACAGGGAAACUUGUGCUAAUACCGGAUAAGCCCUUACGGGGAAAGAUUUAUCGCCGAAAGAUUGGCCCGCGUCUGAUUAGCUAGUUGGUGAGGUAACGGCUCACCAAGGCGACGAUCAGUAGCUGGUCUGAGAGGAUGAUCAGCCACAUUGGGACUGAGGCACGGCCCAA